GACGAACGCUGGCGGCGUGCCUAAUACAUGCAAGUCGAACGCAGUGGGGACGGGUGAGUAACACGUUGGUAACCUCCCAUCAGAGGGGAUAACACUUGGACACAGGUGCUAAACCGCUACUGGUGGAUGGACCCGCGGUGCAUUAGCUAGUUGGGGAGGUAACGGCUAACCAAGGCCACGAUGCAUAGCCGACAUGUGAGGGGGAUCGGCAACACUGGGACUGAGAAACGGACCAGAAUCCUACGGGAGGAAGCAGUAGGGAAUCUUCGGCAAUGGACGAAAGUCUGACCGAGCAACGCCGCGUGAGUGAAGAAGGUUUGCGGAUCGUAAAACUCUGUUGUUAGAGAAGCGGUAUCUAACCAGAAAGCCACGGCUAACUACGUGCCAGCAGCCGCGGUAAUUC
rnacentral:rRNA from 1 species